rnacentral:tRNA from 1 species
GCCGCGAUGGUGGAAUGGUAGACACGAGGGACUUAAAAUCCCUUGACCCGAAACGGUUGUGCGGGUUCGAGUCCCGCUCGCGGCACCA